rnacentral:rRNA from 1 species
GAUGAACGCUGGCGGCGUGCUUAACACAUGCAAGUCGAACGGGAAAUAUUUCAUUGAGACUUCGGUGGAUUUGAUCUAUUUCUAGUGGCGGACGGGUGAGUAACGCGUGGGUAACCUGCCUUAUACAGGGGGAUAACAGUCAGAAAUGGCUGCUAAUACCGCAUAAGCGCACAGAGCUGCAUGGCUCAGUGUGAAAAACUCCGGUGGUAUAAGAUGGACCCGCGUUGGAUUAGCUGGUUGGUGGGGUAACGGCCCACCAAGGCGACGAUCCAUAGCCGGCCUGAGAGGGUGAACGGCCACAUUGGGACUGAGACACGGCCCAGACUCCUACGGGAGGCAGCAGUGGGGAAUAUUGCACAAUGGGGGAAACCCUGAUGCAGCGACGCCGCGUGAAGGAAGAAGUAUCUCGGUAUGUAAACUUCUAUCAGCAGGGAAGAUAGUGACGGUACCUGACUAAGAAGCCCCGGCUAA